GACGAACCGAGCGAACGUUGUUCGGAAUCACUGGGCUUAAAGGGCGCGUAGGCGGGCAUCCAAGUCUGUGGUGAAAUCCGGCAGCUUAACUGUCGAACUGCCGUGGAUACUGGGUGUCUCGAGGGAGGUAGGGGCGCGCGGAACUAUUGGUGGAGCGGUGAAAUGCGUUGAUAUCAAUAGGAACUCCGGUGGCGAAGGCGGCGCGCUGGACCUCUUCUGACGCUGAGGCGCGAAAGCCAGGGGAGCAAACGGG
rnacentral:rRNA from 1 species